AUUGAACGCUGGCGGCAGGCCUAACACAUGCAAGUCGAACGGUAACAGGAAGAAGCUUGCUUCUUUGCUGACGAGUGGCGGACGGGUGAGUAAUGUCUGGGAAACUGCCUGAUGGAGGGGGAUAACUACUGGAAACGGUAGCUAAUACCGCAUAACGUCGCAAGACCAAAAAGGGGGACCUUCGGGCCUCUUGCCAUCGGAUGUGCCCAGAUGGGAUUAGCUAGUAGGUGGGGUAACGGCUCACCUAGGCGACGAUCCCUAGCUGGUCUUAGAGGAUGACCAGCCACACUGGAACUGAGACACGGUCCAGACUCCUACGGGAGGCAGCAGUGGGGAAUAUUGCACAAUGGGCGCAAGCCUGAUGCAGCCAUGCCGCGUGUAUGAAGAAGGCCUUCGGUUGGUAAAGUACUUUCAGCGGGAGGAAGGGAGUAAA
rnacentral:rRNA from 1 species